rnacentral:piRNA from 1 species
CUAGCAGGUGAUGAUCCUGAAAUGGUC